UACGGAGGGUGCGAGCGUUAUCCGGAAUUACUGGGUUUAAAGGGUGCGUAGGCGGCCGUGCAAGUCUGGCGUGAAAGCCCCGGGCUCAGCCCGGGAAGUGCGCUCGAAACUGCGCGGCUCGAGUGCCGGAGGGGAGAGUGGAAUUCCUGGUGUAGCGGUGAAAUGCGUAGAUAUCAGGAGGAACACCGGUGGCGAAGGCGGGUCUCUGGGCAGUAACUGACGCUGAGGAGCGAAAGCGUGGGGAGCGAACAGG
rnacentral:rRNA from 1 species